UACGUAGGGUGCAAGCGUUGUCCGGAAUUAUUGGGCGUAAAGAGCUCGUAGGUGGUUUGUCGCGUUGUCCGUGAAAACUCACAACUCAAUUGUGGGCGUGCGGGCGAUACGGGCAGACUGGAGUACUGCAGGGGAGACUGGAAUUCCUGGUGUAGCGGUGGAAUGCGCAGAUAUCAGGAGGAACACCGGUGGCGAAGGCGGAUCUCUGGGCCUUACCUGACGCUCAGGCGCGAAAGCGUGGGGAGCGAACAGG
rnacentral:rRNA from 1 species